GCCUGUCUGAGGCCUUCUAAAGGAAAGAGAGAAGCUCCAGUUGUAAAAGAAUCCGGUUAUAAUACCUGCAGUAAUCUUCUAGAUGACUUUGUAAGAUACAAUGGAACAUCUGAAACAGAGAUGUGCCUUUGGCAGCUGAGGAGGUUGCCUAUCUACCUGCUCUGCAACACACUGGCGAAAAGAGCAACUUUGUGCUCUGCUGUGAUGUCUUCCUCACUGGUGAGAAUGUGAGGGGUCCAGGUGGAUAAAUGAGGGAAGAAACCAUCACCUAAGAUAAGAAGAAGUCUCUAAGAAGAUACCUCUGCUGUUUGCCUAAGUCCUGCACUGAGUUUUCUUUUGCAAGAGUUGACAAAGUACCUGACAUCUUUCUACUUUGGUGUCUCCCUUUGUAGACUGAAAAUGCUUCUCAGUUAAAAAACGACAACGAAAACCUCAGUCAAAAUGUUCUAGGAACAUAAAAUCUUAUCAGACACUGAAAAUCUCAUCAGAUUAGUGAUUAUUACAACUUACACUUCUAUUACAGAUGUAAUGAAUAUUCAUUGUAUACGAACAUAGCCCAUUGAGUAAGUGAUGAAAAGGUCCUUCUCAAGAGAGCUGUUCUCCAGUUUAGAACUGUCCAGUUCUCCAGCCUCAGAGAGUAGUAUCUCUGUGCUGCACUGGGAAGGCUCACCCAGCCAGGUCUUUGCCACCACAGCCAGUUUGUGGCUGCCGUCCUUCACAGUCACUUGAAGGACAGGCAGAGGCAAGUCCAGUGCUUUAUUAGACACCAGGUGGUAUUCUUUAGAAGAGAACUAGAUAGCAUACUAGAAAUGCAAUGUAUGAAUGCUACAGGAUAUCUUUUUUCAGAGCUCCGAUAUCAAGACUGUUGUACAUACAGCCUUGUUAAGUCCGAGGCUGGGUGUGUUGGUCUUACAUGAGCAAUACCAAAAUGACAGCAUGCCUGGUGUUGACACAAGUCAGAAAUGACUUUGCUUGAGCCAGUUCAGGUGUGAGGAAAGUCAGAACUUUGAAAUUCAGAUUUCAAAAUCCUCCCCAAAGUUCUGCCAGCGGAGUGCCCCUGACAUGGUUACUGUCUGCUUGUGUUAAAUCAGAAAGCCUGUCUGCAUGAGAGGUUUGUAAGUAAUGCAGCUGCAUUGACACAAACUGAAGUGAGAUUUUUAGGAACUGGAUUGAAGAGU